AACGAACGCUGGCGGCAGGCUUAACACAUGCAAGUCGAACGAUAUAGUGGCAGACGGGUGAGUAACGCGUGGAAACGUGCCUUUCACUACGGAAUAGCCCUGGGAAACCGGGAGUAAUACCGUAUACGCCCUCCGGGGGAAAGAUUUAUCGGUGAAAGAUCGGUCCGCGUUAGAUUAGCUAGUUGGUAGGGUAAUGGCCUACCAAGGCGACGAUCUAUAGCUGGUCUGAGAGGAUGAUCAGCCACACUGGAACUGAGACACGGUCCAGACUCCUACGGGAGGCAGCAGUGGGGAAUCUUGCACAAUGGGCGAAAGCCUGAUGCAGCCAUGCCGCGUGAAUGAUGAAGGCCCUAGGGUUGUAAAAUUCUUUCGCUUGGGAUGAUAAUGACAGUACCAAGUAAAGAAGCACCGGCUAACUUCG
rnacentral:rRNA from 1 species